rnacentral:rRNA from 1 species
AGUGAACGCUGGCGGUAGGCCUAACACAUGCAAGUCGAACGGCAGCACAGUAAGAGCUUGCUCUUACGGGUGGCGAGUGGCGGACGGGUGAGGAAUACAUCGGAAUCUACUUUUUCGUGGGGGAUAACGUAGGGAAACUUACGCUAAUACCGCAUACGACCUACGGGUGAAAGCAGGGGAUCUUCGGACCUUGCGCGAUUGAAUGAGCCGAUGUCGGAUUAGCUAGUUGGCGGGGUAAAGGCCCACCAAGGCGACGAUCCGUAGCUGGUCUGAGAGGAUGAUCAGCCACACUGGAACUGAGACACGGUCCAGACUCCUACGGGAGGCAGCAGUGGGGAAUAUUGGACAAUGGGCGCAAGCCUGAUCCAGCCAUACCGCGUGGGUGAAGAAGGCCUGGGUUGUAAAGCCCUUUUGUUGGGAAAGAAAAGCAGCAGGUUAAUACCCCGCUGUUCUGACGGUACCCAAAGAAUAAGCACCGGCUAACUUCGUG